UACGUAGGGGGCAAGCGUUGUCCGGAUUCAUUGGGCGUAAAGAGCGUGUAGGCGGCCAGGUAGGUCGGUUGUGAAAACUGGAGGCUCAACCUUCAGAGGUCGACCGAAACCAUCUGGCUAGAGUCCGGGAGAGGAGAGUGGAAUUCCUGGUGUAGCGGUGAAAUGCGCAGAUAUCAGGAAGAACACCCGUGGCGAAAGCGGCUCUCUGGACUGCAACUGACACUGAGAAACGAAAGCCAGGGUAGCAAACGGG
rnacentral:rRNA from 1 species